rnacentral:rRNA from 1 species
CCCAGUGCUCCUUGCCACCCUGAACGUGCCUGAUCUCAUGUGGUCUCAGAAGCUAAGCAGGGUCGGGCCUGGUUAGUACUUGGAUGGGAAACAUGUUACUUUUGUAC